CCAAAUGACACGAUCAAAGAAUGUGAACUGAAAAGGAGAAGAGGGAAAAAAAAGAGAAAGGAAGCAAAUCCGGAACUACGUCCCUGCCAGUCUCAUAUAAGGGAUAUUAGAAGACGAAUUUAUUGUGGUUAAUUCUUCAAUUCUUUAGAUGACAUCAAUAAGGUAUCCUCUUCUCGACCUCAGGGAAGCAGGAACAAAGAGCCACUUACGGGGAGUCUCAACUCCUCUCUUUGCAAAUCGGAUAAUCAAUCCUUGUCUGAAGCAAAUAGCAGGAAUGAUAGUCUGCAAAAAAACAGUUCAUACGUUUAUCCACAUAUUACUAAAAUUUUUAAUACUCUAUGAGCAUUUAAGUCAGUCUGACAAAUAAAAUUUCUAAGCUUUAUUUAAGUUUUUUUAAAUAAUAACUACUCUUCUCCAUCAUGUUCCAACAGAACAUUACAGAAUUUUGAUGUUUCUCCUUUUUUAUUGAAGAAAUCUCAAAUUUCAGAAUUUGAGAUGUUUAUAGCUGAUCUGGCUAAUAUUCUUUCUUCUUUUUCUGUUACUGAUUAGAACUAACAAUGGCGAAUCAAAAGCGAUCUACCUCUUCGCAAACUUACUAAUACUCAAGUAGAAUGUCCGUUCUUUGAAGGCCAGAACUUUUGAUUUUAUUGAUUUAAUUAAUGAAAACUCUCCAGAUGUGUUAUGUUUGUCGGAAACUAGUAUUCCUGCAAAUCUUGUCAAUACUUAUACUUGUCCUAUUAAAGGGUACAUAUUUAUUAACUCUCCUAGGGCAGACUCCAGGGAAGGAUGCGCUAGAAUUUUGAUUAGAAACGAUUUGAUCUAUUCUAGAUUUAACUUACAAGUUUUCGAAUCCUUAUACAGGGAAAAUAAUGUUGAUUUUGUAGGUGUGAACAUUUUACAAAAAAAUAAGUAAUUUGUUACAAUUCUUUCAAUUUAUAAUCCUCCAAAAUCAUCUUCUCGGGAUGUUGAUCCAAAUUUUUGGUCAAAAUUUUUUUGCUACAUGAAUAUUAUGAAGGAUACAAUUAUUUGUGGGGACUUUAACUCUUAUAUCCCUUUAUGGUCUACUUUACCUACAAAAUACAAUGAAGGACGUAGUUCAGAAACUGCUAUUAUUCUCUCAAUCUUUAUUAAUAUAAGUAAUGGCUCUCCCACUUGGCGGAUGGAUCCAAUAAAAGUAUGAUUGACUACACUUUUGUUUCUUCGACUUUGGCACUUUCCUCUUAUAGUUCGGUUGUAGACUAUACUUACACUAGCGAUCAUUACCCGAUUUUUAUUAAGAUUAAUGGUCUCUCUACUCUUUCUGUGGAAAGCAGAACUUCGCUCGUUCUUUCGGAGAUUAUGUGGGAUGACUUUUCUGGGAGAAUUUCAGGGAAGUUGGAAUCAAUUUCCAUUUUAGAGAAAUGUUUAGAGGAGGGAUAUAAUGAAUUCAUCUCUUUAAAGAAUAUACUAAUUGAAUGUGGAGCUAGGAUAAAUAAAGGAGAAAAAAGUAAAGGUUUCCCCCAGCUAUUUGGUGUCUCCAGUAUGCGAUUAUUAAAGGAAAGAAAAACUGCAUUCAAGGUGCUUCUACGAAGAUAUCAACCCACGUUUAAAUGUAUCCCUGGUAUGGCGCUCGCUCACUGUUUUUAAAAAUAGAAGAGCUAUAUCUCUCAGACCAAACCCUGUGAGCAAAGAAAAUACUGCAAAAGCCGCUUUUAACAAGAUCGUUCCUACAAUCGCGUGCGAUUCUUUAUUACCACAUUUAUCGGAAAAUUAUAUUGUUUCUGCGCUCCUUGUUACGCAUCAUCU